rnacentral:rRNA from 1 species
GACGAACGCUGGCGGCGUGCUUAACACAUGCAAGUCGAACGGAAAGGCCCUGCUUUUGUGGGGUGCUCGAGUGGCGAACGGGUGAGUAACACGUGAGUAACCUGCCCUUGACUUUGGGAUAACUUCAGGAAACUGGGGCUAAUACCGGAUAGGAGCUCCUGCUGCAUGGUGGGGGUUGGAAAGUUUCGGCGGUUGGGGAUGGACUCGCGGCUUAUCAGCUUGUUGGUGGGGUAGUGGCUUACCAAGGCUGUGACGGGUAGCCGGCCUGAGAGGGUGACCGGCGACAAUGGGACUGAGAGACGGCCCAGACUCCAACGGGAGGCAGCAGUGGGGAAUAUUGCACAAUGGGCGGAAGCCUGAUGCAGCAACGCCGCGUGCGGGAUGACGGCCUUCGGGUUGUAAACCGCUUUCGCCUGUGACGAAGCGUGAGUGACGGUAAUGGGUAAAGAAGCACCGGCUAACUACGUG